CAGGCCGAAAGGCUUGCUAAUACCGGAUGAGUUCAUGCUUAUGCAUAUAGGCAUGAAGAAAGGGCUAGCCCGCUAUGAGAUGAGCCCGCGUCCCAUUAGCUUGUUGGUGGGGUAACGGCCUACCAAGGCAACGAUGGGUAGCCGGCCUGAGAGGGUGUACGGCCACACUGGGACUGAGACACGGCCCAGACUCCUACGGGGGGCAGCAGUAGGGAAUUUUCGGCAAUGGGCGAAAGCCUGACCGAGCGACGCCGCGUGAGGGACGAAGGCCUUCGGGUUGUAAACCUCUGUCUGGGGGGAUGAGAACGGACGGUACCCCCGGAGGAAGCCCCGGCUAACUACGUGCCAGCAGCCGCGGUAAUACGUAGGGGGCUAGCGUUGUCCGGAAUUACUGGGCGUAAAGGGCGUGUAGGCGGUCGUGCAAG
rnacentral:rRNA from 1 species